UGGAAUAUAAUUAGGGUCAUUCGGAAUGCUUAAGGCGUAACAAGGAUUAUCAAGGUUCACCACUGAUUUAUAAUAUUUCCCUGGUUGCUCAAUCGUUACUGCCUUUUCUUCUAGAGUCUCAUGAUUGUUUUGAUCUGGAGGCUUGUCUUGAAGAUUAUUUGUGCAUAGAUUUGAAAUUUGUUUGCUUAACUGCAGGAAGUUAUUGUUGACAUUAGUUCUAAACUCUCCCAUCUCCUGGAUCUGAGACAUCUGAAGACUUUGUAGGCGAACAAAAUCCGGGUGAGUUGCUAAAUCAAAAUUUUGAGUAUUUG
rnacentral:lncRNA from 1 species